UACAGAGGGUGCAAGCGUUGUUCGGAAUUAUUGGGCGUAAAGCGCACGUAGGCGGCUUUCUAAGUCAGGGGUGAAAUCCUGGAGCUCAACUCCAGAACUGCCUUUGAUACUGGGGAGCUCGAGUCCGGAAGAGGUGAGUGGAACUCCGAGUGUAGAGGUGAAAUUCGUAGAUAUUCGGAAGAACACCAGUGGCGAAGGCGGCUCACUGGUCCGGUACUGACGCUGAGGUGCGAAAAGCGUGGGGGAGCAAACAGGG
rnacentral:rRNA from 1 species